ACAGCCACUGCAGGAUAUCAUGAUGGUUGAGCCAUUUAUCUAUUCUGUGGUUGGACUAUGCCGAGAGGAUAUCGGAGACUAUCUAUAAAAAUGCUGUAAAGACAAAUAUCUAUAUUGAAUAAUAUUGAUGUUGAAGACAUUGUUGAAAAUAAAGUCCAACUAGAUCAAAUUUUCUACCAAAAAUCACUUUGAAGUUUAAUUUGAUUGUCAGUCAAUAAAAAAAAAAACCACGAUGAGUAUAACCUGCAAUAUAGAGAUGUCGACAUCCAGAACACACUCAUCCCAAUUCAACAUAUUAUCUACAUUCUACGUAUAUAUAUCUAUUAAAAUAACAGUUAAAACCGUAAGAUAAUUAGAUAUAGCUUAUAAACUAUAACUCAUAGCUAACCUAUUAGCCAUAUAAUUUAUAAUAAUUUUAGGUACUAUAGU